GUGCUUGCUUCAGUGGCACAUAGACUAUAUUUGGAACACUACAGAGAAUAUUAUCAUGGCCCCUUGCACAAGGAUGCCGUGCAAAUUCAUGAAGUGUUCCAUAUUUCA